rnacentral:rRNA from 3 species
UGGUGGGUAGUUUGACUGGGGCGGUCUCCUCCUAAAGAGUAACGGAGGAGCACGAAGGUUGGCUAAUCCUGGUCGGACAUCAGGAGGUUAGUGCAAUGGCAUAAGCCAGCUUGACUGCGAGCGUGACGGCGCGAGCAGGUGCGAAAGCAGGUCAUAGUGAUCCGGUGGUUCUGAAUGGAAGGGCCAUCGCUCAACGGAUAAAAGGUACUCCGGGGAUAACAGGCUGAUACCGCCCAAGAGUUCAUAUCGACGGCGGUGUUUGGCACCUCGAUGUCGGCUCAUCACAUCCUGGGGCUGAAGUAGGUCCCAAGGGUAUGGCUGUUCGCCAUUUAAAGUGGUACGCGAGCUGGGUUUAGAACGUCGUGAGACAGUUCGGUCCCUAUCUGCCGUGGGCGCUGGAGAACUGAGGGGGGCUGCUCCUAGUACGAGAGGACCGGAGUGGACGCAUCACUGGUGUUCGGGUUGUCAUGCCAAUGGCACUGCCCGGUAGCUAAAUG